rnacentral:tRNA from 1 species
GCCCCAGGUAGUUGGCACGGCUGGAACGCCCUCCGGAGGCAGGUGUCGCAGGUUCGAGUCCUGCCGAGGGCA